rnacentral:rRNA from 1 species
ACGAACGCUGGCGGCGUGCUUAACACAUGCAAGUCGAGCGGUAAGGCCUCUUCGGGGGUACACGAGCGGCGAACGGGUGAGUAACACGUGGGUGACCUGCCCUCAGCUCUGGGAUAAGCCUGGGAAACUGGGUCUAAUACCGGAUAUGACCUUUCCUCGCAUGGGGUUUGGUGGAAAGUUUUUUCGGCUGGGGAUGGGCCCGCGGCCUAUCAGCUUGUUGGUGGGGUGAUGGCCUACCAAGGCGACGACGGGUAGCCGGCCUGAGAGGGCGACCGGCCACACUGGGACUGAGACACGGCCCAGACUCCUACGGGAGGCAGCAGUGGGGAAUAUUGCGCAAUGGGCGGAAGCCUGACGCAGCGACGCCGCGUGGGGGAUGACGGCCUUCGGGUUGUAAACCUCUUUCGACCUUGACGAAGCCUCUUGGGGUGACGGUAGGGGUAGAAGAAGCACCGGCCAACUACGU